rnacentral:rRNA from 1 species
UGGGGAAUAUUGGACAAUGGGCGCAAGCCUGAUCCAGCCAUGCCGCGUGUGUGAAGAAGGUCGUAAGAUUGUAAAGCACUUUAAGCGAGGAGGAGGGUACUGAUGCUAAUAUCAUCAAGUAUUGGACGUUACUCGCAGAAUAAGCACCGGCUAACUCUGUG